GCUUUGUACAAAUAACUUGUUUGGUCCUCAUCAAUAAUGAUUCUUUACUAAGCAUGCACAAUUCAUACCAUUAGCCUCCAUCUUUGAAAUAUCUGUGUUUAUGUUGAAAAAUUUCCUAGUUUUUUACUUUUAAUUAUGUUGCCCAAAGUACAACAGGCAAUAUUCUGCAUACAUAUUUGUUUUUCUCUAUUAUGUCAUAGGGUGACUUUUCUGAAGAUAUGGAAAGCAAUUAUUAGAGAUCCAUGUUUCACAUUUAAUUUAAAAUUCAGUAUUAUAUGGUCUUACAAACUUUUUCUGAAAAUCAUUUGUCAAGGAAAUCUCAUUUGAGUAGUAAAAUGAAGUAAAUGAAGGAGUAAAAAAAGCAUCUUAAGUUUAAGAAAAUACAAUAUUUAGAAAGCAGUUUCCAUAGAUGAAUUAGGUGCAAAGAGAGCGAGAGGAGAGGAAAACAGAAACCACUAGGAGUUCUUAAACUUUACCCAAUCAAUAUGUAUCUUGCUUCAGAUUUGCCAUCUUCUGUUUAAGUAAGCUUUGAUUUACUGGGUAAGAAUCUGAUUAUUGUUUUUAAAUUCUGAUCAUUGUUUGUUGAUAUUCACACUAGGACAUUUAAAACAACACCACAGCUGAGGACUUUUAAAUGAAGAUCAGUAACAAACAUCAAAAUGUUUAAAAUUUAUUUAUUUUUUCACACUGCCAUGAGAAAGUAGAAAAAUGUUUAAAGUUUAAAAGCAUUUCAGUAUUCCAAUUAUCCUCUCAAUUUCGCACCAUUUUUUAAAAUCAUCAUUCUCUUCCACCUUCACUUUUUAUAUACUAUGCUUUUCCACUUUCUGAAUGUGCUGGGCUUUCCAUGACUUUACAAAUGCUCUUCCAUCACCUAAAAUGUUCAUUUGUUCUCCACUCUUCAUUUCCUAUCCUCUGCACCACAUUGGCUGGUAGAAUUCUACUCAUCAUAGGGGCUUCAGAUUAAACAUAACUCCCUCCAAAUAAUGCCCCCUAGGUCCCUAGAAUAGUUUAGAUUCCCUGUUUAUGCUAUGAAAAGCACCCUGUAAUUUUUCUUCAUUUCGGUUUGUACAUUAUAAACCUACUAUUUGCAAUUGUUGCUCAAGGUUGUCCUCCCUGCGAAACUAUGAGUGUUAUGUGAAAAGAGAUCCUGAAUUUUGUUUACUGAUGUAUUCUCCAUGCUUAGCACAAUGCUUGGUACAUAGGACAUUCUCAUUUUAUUUUGUGGCUUGACAAACAAUUAAGAUGUCCUCCCAUCCCCCAUAUUAUGAUAGAAUUCAAAUUUUGUAAGCAACUGUUAGCUGAUUUUUAAAUUCAAUAUCUGAAAUUAAUUUCAUUUUAAUGUCAACUUUAUUGUUAUACUACAUUUCUGUAUUUGGUCACAUAUUUAAAUGUAGAAUAUAGUAUGUAGCAUUAAUGCCCAAGUUGGUAACUUUUAAAAUAGUUUCUCCAUACUUUAAGCACUGAUAUUUUUGAGCCUAAAUGUGAGAUUUUCCUAAUAAAAAGGUGAGGAAAUUUAAUGAUAUUUUUGAAAAGUUACUCAAAAAAGUACACAGGUCUCAUUUAAAGCACUAAAAGGCAGCAAAUUUUUAGAGAAAAUGAUAUUUCUGUUUGCGGCAAUAUGGCAUACAAGGUAUUAAAAAAUAUAAAAAACUCCUGCAACAAAUCAUCAAACAUUCUUGAAAAAAAUAUAAUAAAUAUUUAUCACAGAUAUCACAGGAAAUUAAAAGAAAUCCCUAAAGGCCAAAAGAAGAGGAAGCAGAAAUUCAGAGUAUUAUGCUUGCCUGAAGCAGCAGCUGCCCUGAGAGAUUGUUGAUAUUAGAAACUAAGGCCUUGAGAGGUUUUCCCCCCUCAUGUUUCUGCAUCAGCGUUUAUUGUGUUAUAAUUUACAUACGAUAAAAUUCACCAAUUUCAGUCAUACAUUCAUAUAGCCACCACCAUAUUUGUGGGAUAAAGGAGCAAGGCAGUCCAAUGCAUGGAAAAAGUUAAUUGGUGGUAAGGAAAAGUGAGGUAAUUGCUGAUCUGUGCGAGUGCAGUUAAGCUUCAUGGCUUUUCAUAGGAUCCACGUUCGCAAGAUGGUGUCGUUGGCACAAUCUGAGGGUGGAGUUUUUGGCCUUCUGAUGUCAAAAGGGCACUCAUUGGGCAUUCAUACAGGCCAUUGGAGGCUCAGUGGAGUCAGCUUGAACUGGACAAGAGCUGAUCCUAAUUUCCUGAAAAACAAGCAACUAUUAAUUACUAUGGUGACCUGUACAUCAGAGAUGUUAUCUAUAAGGAAACUAGUGGAAGUUUAGUUACAUAUUGCUUAGUUGCAUUGACUUUUCGCUAUGUAGGUUUUAAAAUCAACUAGAAGCAAGCGACUACAAACAAGGCAAGUUAAGUUUGAUAGGCCUAAUUAGGUUAGCCCUGGGUUUCACCUUGUCCUUCAGCAACCACUGAUUUGCAUUCCAUCAUUUUAAUGUUGCUGUUGCUAGAGUUUUAUAUUAAUAUCAUCAUACCAUAUUUAGUCUUUUGUGUCUGGCUUCUUCCAUGUAGCAUAAUGCUUCUGAGAUUCAUCCAUGUUGUUGUAUGUAGUAGUUCAUUCCUUUAUAUGGCCAAUGAAUAUUUCAGUGUGCUAACAUACCACAAUUUCAUCAGUUGAUGGACAUUGUGAUAUGUCCAGUUUGGAGGUAUUCCAUUUUAUAAAUCUGCUAUGAACACUGGAACAUGUGUCUCUGGACACAUGUUUUUACCUCUCUUGGGUAAAUGCCUAGGAGUGGGAUGGCUGGGUCAAAUAGUAAAGUUAUGAUUAAGUUUAUGAAAAACUGCCAAACUCUUUUCCAAACUGGCUGGCCCAUUUGCUUUUCCCACUAGCAAUGUAUGAGAGUUUCAGUUGCUCAGCAUCCAUACCAACACUUGAUUUUGUCAGUCUUCUAGUGGACGUGUGUGGUGUAAACCAAAAGUUAAGGCUCAAUGUUAUGUACUGUCUUGACAUCUGGUAAACUGAGAAGGUUUCAAAUGGCCUAACCAGAGGAUCCCCUCCUCACUCUCCUUCCAUGGAUAAGGUACCCUAGCCAAACAACCACUCCUUAACAGAGGGACCAGACACUUACCCCUGAGUAGCAGGGUUUCAGUUCCAUGCCAGCUGUGAAAUUGUUCCAAGAAACCAAUCAUAUAUUCCUGUGGGAACCAGGGGAUGUCUCACCCUCUUCAUAUUACAAAGUCUGCCUCCCACAUCUCCCAGCUGUUCUCUGUUCCCAAAUUCAACCCCCAUAGAGCAGGCAGUGUCCUCCCCUAUAAGCUGUGAGUACAUAUGACUAAUAAGCUGUUAUCAGUUUCAUCUGCGUUGUGCUGGGUUUUGUGUUGGGCCUUCCCAUAACCCUAGGUGGGAAUUCCUCCCUCACCAACAUGGUGAAUGGGGGGUGAUUAAAACAGUGUGUAAUGGUCUCUCAUCGUAGUUUUAGCUUACAUUUGUCCAAAAUGUUGAGCAUAAAGUAUUUAUUUGCCAUUAGUAUAUCUUCUUUGGUGAAGAGUCUAUUCAAAGAUAUUCCCAAUUGUAUUUAGGUUGUUUGUCUUCCUGUUGGGUUGUAAAGGGCCUCUAUUGAACAGUUUUGCAAAGAUUUUCCCCCACUCUGUGGUUUCUCGUUCAUUUCAUUAACAGUGUUUUUUAAGGAGCAGAAGUUUUAAAUUUUUAUAACAUCCAUUUAUAAAUUUAUUCAUCACUGAGAGAGGGGUGUAGCCAUGUACAGUCACUCAUGCCUGUAAUUCCAGCACUUUGGGAGGCUGAGGUAGGAGAAUCAUUUGAGGCCAGAAGUUCAAGACCAGCCUGGUCAAUAUAGCCAGAUCCUGUCUCUACAAAAAUUUUUUUAAAUUAGCCAAGCAUAGUGGUAUGCACCUGUAGUCCUAGCUACUCGAGAGGCUGAGGUGGGAAGAUAACUUGAGCUGAGGAGGUUGUGGCUUCAGUGAGCUAUGAAUAUAUCACUGCACUCCAGCCUGGGUGACAGAGCAAGACCCUGUCUCUAAAAAUAAGAAAAAGAGAGGUGUUGAAGUCUCCAACUAGAACUGUAGAUGAAGACUAAAAAACUUUUAUUUUUUCUUUCAGUUCUAUCAUGUAUUUUUAAACCUGUUUUUAAAUGCAUAAACAUUUAGGACUGCUAUUUCUUCAUGAUAAAGAGACUUAUUUCUUAUUAUGAGUUGGCCCUCUUUAUCUCUGGUAAUAUUCUCUCCUGAUAUCUAUGUUGUCUGACAGCUAUUCCAGAUUUCUCUUAGGAAGUGUUACUACAGUAUUUAUUUCCCAUCUUUUUACUUUUAAUGUAUCUGAGUCUGUGCAUUUAAAGUGGGUUUCCUGAAGAUAACGUAAUUUGGUCUUGCUCUUUUAUCAAAUCUAAAAAUCUCUGGAAUGUUUAGAUUAUUUACAUUUAACUUGAUUAUGGAUAUGGUUCAAAUCUACCACCUUCUUAUAUUUGUUUUCUGUUUUUAUCAUUUGUUCUUAGCUGCUUUUUUGCCUCUUUUCCUGAAUUAUUUUUCACUGGAUAUUUUUUAAUGUUUUUUAUUUUUUUCUUGGCUUAUGAAGUAUCCUGUGUGUGUAUGUGUGUGUGUGUGUCUGUGUGUGUGUCUGUGUGUUUGCUCCAAGAUUUGUAGUAUAUAUAUUUAACUUACUAUAAGCUACUGUCAAAUAUUAUACUACUCAUUUUUCAGUAUAUAUAUUUAACUUAAUAUAGGCUACCUUCAAAUAUUAUACUACUCAUUUUAAGUAUAACAUAAGAGCCUUACGAUAAUAUACUUUUCAUUCUUUCUGCGCCCGCCAAGCCUUUUUUUGUCAAACAUUGACUUCUACAUAUGUUAUAAACUGCAAAACAUUAUCAUUACUUUUGCUAUAAGCAAUCCAUUAUCUUUUUAAAAGGUUUAAAUAAUUUUUUAAAAGUCUUUUAUAUGUGCCAACCUAUUUACCAUUUCCAGUGCUAUUUAUUCUUUCAUGUAGAUCCACAUUUCUUCUUGAUAUAAUUUUCCUUCUGCCUGAAGGGUUUCCUUUAACUUUUCUUGUAAUACUAGUUGCUGGUGAUGAAUUCUGGAAAAGUCUUUAUUUCACCUUCAUUUUCAAAUGAAGGAUACAAUUUUAGGUGAAUAGGGAUUUUUGGUUUUUUUGUUUGUUGUUUUUCAUUCUUUUCAGUAAUUUAAAGAUGGCCCUCCAUGGUCUUUUGGUUUGCAUUGUUUCUGAUGAGAAAUCUACUGUUAUUUUUAUCUUUGUUUCUUUAUGGAAUCUGUCUUUUUUUACUUUGUCUGCUUUGCUACAUUUGAGAUUUCUCAUUAC
rnacentral:lncRNA from 1 species